GUCAGGUACACCAGGAGCUCUGUAGUUGGAUAGGUCAGGAGCUCUGUAGUUGGAGACCAGGAGCUCUGUAGUUGGAUAGAUCAGGUAGACCAGGAGCUCUGUAGAUGGAUAGGUCAGGUAGACCAGGAGCUCUGUAGAUGGAUAGGUCAGGUAGACCAGGAGCUCUGUAGAUGGAUAGGUCAGGUAGACCAGGAGCUCUGUAGUUGGAUAGGUCAGGUAGACCAGGAGCUCUGUAGUUGGAUAGGUCAGGUACACCAGGAGCUCUGUAGUUGGAUAGGUCAGGUAGACCAGGAGCUCUGUAGUUGGAUAGGUCAGGUACACCAGGAGCUCUGUAGUUGGAUAGGUCAGGUACACCAGGAGCUCUGUAGUUGGAUAGUUCAGGUACUGUAAAUUCAAAGGGAUUUUCCCCAGGGAAAUAUGUGCAAGUAUCUUCGAUAUGUUUGAAUAUCUGCAGAGCCUUCAGAAUGUUUUCACACCCCUUGACUUUUCCACGUGGUUGUUGUGUUAUAG
ensembl:lncRNA